AUUGAACGCUGGCGGCAGGCCUAACACAUGCAAGUCGAGCGGAUGAGGGAAGCUUGCUUCCCGAUUUAGCGGCGGACGGGUGAGUAAUGCCUAGGAAUCUGCCUAUUAGUGGGGGAUAACGUUCCGAAAGGAACGCUAAUACCGCAUACGUCCUACGGGAGAAAGUGGGGGAUCUUCGGACCUCACGCUAAUAGAUGAGCCUAGGUCGGAUUAGCUAGUUGGUGAGGUAACGGCUAACCAAGGCGACGAUCCGUAGCUGGUCUGAGAGGAUGAUCAGACACACUGGAACUGGGACACGGUCCAGAAUCCUACGGGAGGCAGCAGUGGGGAAUAUUGGACAAUGGGCGAAAGCCUGAUCCAGCCAUGCCGCGUGUGUGAAGAAGGUCUUCGGAUUGUGAAGCACUUUAAGUUGGGAGGAAGAGUUGUAAGCUAAUAUCUUGCAGCUUUGACGUUACCAACAGAAUAAGCACCGGCUAACUCUGUGCCAGCCGCCGCCGUAAGAC
rnacentral:rRNA from 1 species